rnacentral:lncRNA from 1 species
CUCGUCCGCCGGCCCGGCUGGGGAGUGGCGGGCGUGGGGGUGAGACGGGGCCACCCCGCGAGGGCUGGAUCUGCGGCCGGAACAGGGCAGCCGCCGGGGCUUGGCCGGAGCCGGGCCGCCCUGGAGACGACUCCCAGAUAAGGAAGGAGGGAAGGCACCGGCGCUUGCGCACUGCCCGGGUGAGAGGGGGCUGCACCCUGCCCGUGGCCAGAGGCCCCUGCUCCUCCACCUGGACCCCUCCUCGCCCUGGCUUGAUGUGAUGCCCCCUUCCCCGCUGCCGCUGGGACCCGCCACCCCCCCACCCCCGCGGGGCCUGCUGCUGCGGAGACCGCCAGGGCCGCGGACAGCGCCGGCCCCCAGAAGGGACAGCUAAUUGGGCAGAGAAAGGGCCCGAUUGUCUCCCCGGGGCCGG